UAAGAAACAGUCAGGUACUAAGGCAAACGCCUAUCAAGUCAGCUCUGGAAGACUGGUGGAGGAUGGCAAAUUCAACAUCGGGCUUGGUUAGAGUACGAGAUGCAUUGGAGGCUAUGUGAGACUUGGCCUCAGAAGAAAAUAAAGCUUUCGGGUUCAGAAAUCCGAUUUGAGCUUUAAUUCCAGCACUCGGGAAGCAGUGGCAACCUCGCCUCUAUGAGUUCAAGGCCAGCCUGGUCUACACAGUGAGUUCCAGACUAGCCAAGGGAACACAAAACUACUGGCCAAUCUUGUAAACAGAAGCAGGGGGACUGUCUCAAGUCCCAGGUAAGUUUGGGCUACAUGAGAACCCGUCUCAAAAAGCAACAGAAAAAAAAAAUAGUGACAGUUGUCACGCUGGGUGACUAAGACCAGUUUCCCUAUUCCUGGGCUUCCUUGUUUGUGUAUUUGCGAGACCUAAGGCGGCAGAGCCGCGCUGCAGCACCUCCCACUUAGGCUCCGGUUCAGAACCAAGCAAGGGUUAUUUUGUCUGGAGCCUCGUGAGGCCACGCCCCACCGCGCUAUUGGUGAAGUUCUUUCCGGUAGGCGAGGCUUUCUCUAACGCCCCGCCCCGCCCCGCCCCUCGAUGCUACUGACUUUCUCGCAGGAGCUGAUUUUGCCCCCUCAGACCACGCCCUUCACACGCUAUUGGCCUGGUCCCUUGUAGGGGGGGGAGCUUUCUAUCAGGCCACCGCCCUCGUGGAGCCUUUGGCCUAAUUCUCUCAGCAGAACCAGGCUUUUUCAGGCCCCGCCUCCUCAGCGCGCUAUUGGUGGAGUCUUCUCCUGAAGGUGUGGCUUUCUCCUCAGGCCAUUCCUUCGCCGCGCUAUUGGCCUAGUCUUUUCUGGGGUCCCGUUCCCUACUGCUGUGUUUGCGGAGUCUCUUCCGGUAGGUGCGGUCUUCUCCUCAGGCCCCGCCCUCCAACCGUCCUAUAAGUGCGACGCAGCUGCGGGUCCCCAGCGGUCUUCCGUCCUGUUGUCCCGCUUGUGUGUGUACGUAGUUCGAGCCCGCUGCGUUCGCAGUCUCUAGCUCUUUCUUUUCGCGGGUUCGAGCACCUGGCCGAUCUCUUUUUUGGGUUCGCGACCGUCACCGCAAUGCUGUUCGAUAAGGUGAAGGCGUUCGUAGUAGAGAUAGACGGGGCGCGCACGGGCACCGAGCCCGUGUUCCACGGAGGCCAGGCCGUGGCAGGCCGGGUACUGUUGGAGCUUGCGGGCGCGGCACGCGUGGGCGCGCUCAGGCUGCGCGCUCGGGGCCGCGCGCGCGCGCACUGGACGGAGUCGCGCAGCGCGGGCUCCAGCACUGCUUAUACUCAGAGUUACAGCGAGCGCGUGGAAGUCGUGAACCACCGCGCCACGCUGCUCGCGCCAGACUCGGGGGAUAUCGCCACGCUUCCCGCUGGACGCCACGAGUUUCCCUUCAGCUUCCAGCUGCCUAUCUCCCUGGUGACAUCCUUCGAGGGCAAACACGGCAGCGUCCGCUAUUCCAUCAAAGCCACUCUGCACCGGCCAUGGGUCCCUGCACGCUGCGCCCGGAAGGUGUUCACUGUCAUUGAACCUGUGGACAUAAACACACCUGCCCUGCUGGAACCCCAGGCUGGAGCCCGGGAGAAGGUGGCACGAUCCUGGUACUGCACACGUGGCCUCGUGUCCCUCUCGGCCAAGAUUGACCGCAAAGGCUACACUCCAGGCGAGGUCAUCCCUAUCUUUGCGGAGAUUGACAAUGGUUCCACGCGAGCUGUGCAGCCCCGUGCUGCCCUAGUACAGACACAGACCUUCAUGGCCCGAGGUGCCCGCAAGCAGAAGCGUGCUGUGGUGGCCAGUGUGGACGGGGAGCCUGUGGGCCCGAAUCGCCGUGCGCUGUGGCCCGGUCGUGCGCUGCGUAUCCCCCCGGUGGGCCCGUCCAUCUUGCAGUGCCGCGUGCUUAGUGUGGACUACUCACUCAAGGCUCGUCCAAGCUGCUGCUGGAGCUGCCUCUGGUCAUAGGCACGGUCCCCCUGCAUCCUCUGGGCAGCCGCUCCGCUAGUGUGGGCAGCCGCGCCAGCUUCCUGCAAGACUGGGGCCUGUGCACCAUGAUGGAUCGGCCAGAGGCCCCACCUGAGUACUCCGAGGUGGUGAGGGAGAGCCAGCUGGUAUGUGCGUCACCGGGGCCCUCCUCCCUCCUACACGACCUAGGUGUGACCACAGAAGGGCCCUACUUUGCCUGUCUCCAGGAGUUCCGCUACUGCCCGCCUCCUCUGUACUCCGAGGAGGACCCUAACCCACCCUCAGAGGCUGUGAGGCCACGCUGCAUGACCUGCUGAUCCAUGGGCUGACAACUUCGGUACCAGGUUCACACUCUUUGGCCAUGAAGUCCCGCCAUCUGCUUUGGGAACACAGGGUUAAAUGAGGCAAUGUGUCUCCCAACAUUGCAAAGGAGCAGCAUGGCUUCCAAGGACAGUCCAUCUUCUCAAAGCUUCUGGUUCUCUGCGUUUAGACCCACCAACGAGGCUGUGGAGCAAUGCUCGGCUCCUCUAGGGAACUGUAGUUUGGGAGAGAUGAAUCUAGGAAUGGACACUUCCAGUCUCAAGGAACCAGAACCAGCUAGAAGUCCAGAGGGGAGACAGAAGACUUCCAAAGGGCAUUUCGGCUGAGGCUUUGAGAUAUGAACAGGAGCUCAGCAAGCAGACAAGCACAGAGGAAAUGGUCAGAGCAGAUAGCGCCCAUUCCUUCUUCCUACGGUUGGGAGCCCAGGCAUUAAGGUGUCUUAGACAUGGCCUCACUGUGAGGUUAGCAGGGCAGAGGGCUCAGGGACAGACACAAAGGAGAAGUCAUUGGGACCUGAAGGUCCAGAGGCUCCAGCUUUUGUGAACUGGUGGCCCAGGUGAACCCAGAGCUGCAGUUGUGAUCUGCCAUGUUCAGAACCUGCAGCCUCCCUCAGGGGUCAGGAUACAGACAAGUACAUCGCAAGGAGAACAGGCAACUGGGGCAGCUGGGGACAUCACAAGGAGAACAGGCAACUGGGGGCAGCUGGGCAAAUCCCCCACAUCCCAGACCUGCCAGGGACUUGCCAUUUCAAUGGUCUGAAGAAUUGUUCACUUUUAUAUAUUAAAUAAAUAAAAAUGGGAGGAAGACA